AAUACCCCAGCAGCUAGCCUACCUCAAAAAGCAACAACCAGUAUUAAUACCCCCAUAAGAAUAAAAAACCACUAAACAAACCAUUUUUCCCCCUAAGUAUGGGAGACAGAAAAGGACACCACAGCGCAAUAGAGAAAGUACCGCAAGGGAAAGCUGAAAGAGAAAUGAAACAACUUAGUUAAGGUAAAAAAAGCAGAGACUUACCCUCGUACCUUUUGCAUCAUGAUUUAGCAAGCACCUUCAAGCAAAGGGCCCUUUACGUUUGAAACCCCGAAACUAAGCGAGCUACUCCAAGACAGCCUAUCUAUAGGGCAAACCCGUCUCUGUGGCAAAAGAGUGGGAGGAGCUUCGAGUAGAGGUGACAGACCUACCGAGCUUAGUAAUAGCUGGUUGCCUAAGAAUUGAAUAGAAGUUCAGCCUUUAAAUAUCUUACACCCACACGGACCAUGUCGCACCCAGGCAAGAAGACUAUUUAAAGAGUUAUUUGAGAGAGGGACAGCUCUCUCAAAAAAAGAUACAACUUUAGUAGAUGGAUAAAGAUCAAAAGACCUAAGGACACCGCACCCAAGUGGGCCUAAAAGCAGCCACCCCUUAAGAAAGCGUUAAAGCUCAAGUACCCUUCCCACCCCCCAAUCCCGACAAAUUCAUCUUAUCCCACUUAACAUAUUAGGCCGCCCCAUGCCCCCAUGGGAACGACAAUGCUAAAAUGAGUAAUAAGAAGGCCUAGGCCUUCUCAAGUCCACCCGUGUAAAUCAGAACGAACCCCCACUGAAAAUUAACGCCCCCAAGAAUAGAGGGCACCGGAGUAAAAUUUAUUGCAACAAGAAAACCCCCCGACCUCACAGCGUUACCCCUACACAGGAGUGCUUAAUGAAAGACAUAAAGGAAGAGAAGGAACUCGGCAAACAUUGGCCUCGCCUGUUUACCAAAAACAUCGCCUCUUGCCCCCCCCCGUAUAAGAGGUCCCGCCUGCCCUGUGACUUUAAAGUUUAACGGCCGCGGUAUUUUGACCGUGCGAAGGUAGCGUAAUCACUUGUCUUUUAAAUAGAGACCUGUAUGAAUGGCAUAACGAGGGCCAAACUGUCUCCUCUCCCUAGUCAAUGAAAUUGAUCUGCCCGUGCAGAAGCGGGCAUAUCCACAUAAGACGAGAAGACCCUAUGGAGCUUUAGACACCAGGAGAGUUCACGUUAAAACCCCUGCCUCAACAGGAACAAACCAAAUGACCCCUCUCCCCCGUCUUUGGUUGGGGCGACCGCGGAGAAUCACAAAACCCCCGCAUGGAAUGGGCCAUGCCCUAAGUCCAGAGCCACAGCUCUAACAAACAGAACUUCUGACCCUAAGAUCCGGCAAAGCCGAUCAAUGGACCCAGUUACCCUAGGGAUAACAGCGCAAUCCCCUUCUAGAGCCCAUAUCGACAAGGGGGUUUACGACCUCGAUGUUGGAUCAGGACAUCCUAAUGGUGCAGCCGCUAUUAAGGGUUCGUUUGUUCAACGAUUAAAGCCCUACGUGAUCUGAGUUCAGACCGGAGAAAUCCAGGUCAGUUUCUAUCUAUGAAAAACACUCCCUCCUAGUACGAAAGGACCGGAGAGAGAGGGCCCAUACUGCAAGCAAGCCCUACCCUUACCUAGUGCCCCCCACUAAAAAAGGUAAGAGGGAAACCCACUGCCAGCCUAAGAGAACGGCAA
rnacentral:rRNA from 1 species